UAGUUUGUGGAGCGCUGCGUCCCAUUCGUUGGCUGUGUGGCUUAGUUGUGUUUGAUUUAGGGCCCGCUUGGAACACUGUAAUGGUCAUGUUUCAUUGGCCAGUUACCUUGCCACUUGCACAUGUAAGUGCACGUCAGCGCACGUGGCCACUACGUGACAAACCCUAUGGAGCGUACCACAAGAGGUUUGUGACAGUGU